UAAUACGUAGGCAGCGAGCGUUGUUCGGAGUUACUGGGCGUAAAGAGUGCGUAGGUGGUGCCCUAAGUCUGGUGUGAAAUCUCCCGGCUCAACUGGGAGGGUGCGCUAGAAACUGGGGUGCUAGAGUGUGGGAGAGGUAAGCGGAAUUCCUGGUGUAGCGGUGAAAUGCGUAGAUAUCAGGAGGAACACCUGUGGUGUAGACAGCUUACUGGACCAUGACUGACACUGAGGCACGAAAGCGUGGGUAGCAAACAGGAUUAGAUACCCUGGUAGUCCACGCCCUAAACGAUGCAUACUUGGUGUGGGCAGUUCAUUCUGUCCGUGCCGGAGCUAACGCGUUAAGUAUGCCGCCUGGGGAGUACGGUCGCAAGGCUG
rnacentral:rRNA from 1 species